UCACGAAAGUGAAUUGUACUAGAAGUCUGCAGGCUAACCCGCAAGGGAGGCAGCGGCCCAAGGUAUGAUCCAUGAUUGGGGUG
rnacentral:rRNA from 1 species